UGGGGAAUAUUGCACAAUGGGGGAAACCCUGAUGCAGCCAUGCCGCGUGUGUGAAGAAGGCCUUCGGGUUGUAAAGCACUUUCAGCAGUGAGGAAGAGGUGGUGUUUAAUAGAUGCCAUCCUUGACGUUAGCUGCAGAAGAAGCACCGGCUAACCCCGUGCCAGCAGCCGCGGUAAUACGGAGGGUGCGAGCGUUAAUCGGAAUUACUGGGCGUAAAGCGCAUGCAGGCGGCGUGUUAAGCCAGAUGUGAAAGCCCGGGGCUCAACCUCGGAAUCGCAUUUGGAACUGGCAUGCUAGAGUCUUGUAGGGGGGGGUAGAAUUUCAGGUGUAGCGGUGAAAUGCGUAGAGAUCUGAAGGAAUACCGGUGGCGAAGGCGGCCCCCUGGACAAAGACUGACGCUCAGAUGCGAAAGCGUGGGGAGCAA
rnacentral:rRNA from 1 species